rnacentral:misc_RNA from 1 species
GAUGAAGAACGUAGCGAAAUGCGAUAAGUAGUGUGAAUUGCAGAAUUCAGUGAACCAUCGAAUCUUUGAACGCACAUUGCGCCCCUUGGUAUCCCGAGGGGCAUGCCUGUUCGAGCGUCAUUUCACCACUCAAGCCUGGCUUGGUGUUGGGCGACGUCCCCUUUGGGGACGCGCCUCGAAACGCUCGGCGGCGUGGCACCGGCUUUAAGCGUAGCAGAAUCUUUCGCUUUGGAAGUCGGGGCCCCGUCUGCCGGAAGACCUACUCGCAAGGUUGACCUCGGAUCAGGCAGGGAUACCCGCUGAACUUAAGCAUAUCAAUAAGCGGAGGA